GACGAACGCUGGCGGCGUGCCUAAUACAUGCAAGUCGAACGCAGUGGGGACGGGUGAGUAACACGUUGGUAACCUCCCAUCAGAGGGGACAACACUUGGAAACAGGUGCUAAACCGAUAUUUAUGGAUGGACCCGCCGUGCAUUAGCUAGUUGGGGAGGUAACGGCUCACCAAGGCGACGAUGCAUAGCGGACAUGAGCGGGUGUACGCGCAAACUGGGACUGAGACACGGCCCGGACGCCUACGGGAGGCAGCAGGAGGGAAUCUUCGGCAAUGGGCGAAAGCCUGACCGAGCAACGCCGCGUGAGUGAAGAAGGUCAUCGGAUCGUAAAUCGCGGUUGUUGGAGAAGCGGUAUCUAACCAGAAAGCAACGGCUAACUACGUGCCAGCAGCCGCGGUAAUUC
rnacentral:rRNA from 1 species